rnacentral:sRNA from 1 species
GACCUAAGUCUUUUUUGAAAGAUAUGGUCAAAAAUCCAAGUAGGGUGUAAAGAACUCCUCGUUCAGCAUACCUUACUUGGUCAUGAUUCGAAAGAAUUGUGGGCGGUCGCGAGAUCGUC